rnacentral:rRNA from 1 species
UACGUAGGGUGCGAGCGUUGUCCGGAAUUAUUGGGCGUAAAGGGCUCGUAGGUGGUUUGUCGCGUUGUCCGUGAAAACUCACAACUCAAUUGUGGGCGUGCGGGCGAUACGGGCAGACUGGAGUACUGCAGGGGGAGACUGGAAUUCCUGGUGUAGCGGUGGAAUGCGCAGAUAUCAGGAGGAACACCGGUGGCGAAGGCGGGUCUCUGGGCCGAUACUGACGCUGAGGAGCGAAAGCGUGGGGAGCGAACAGG